AAUAGAUACCCAGGUAGUCCACGCCGUAAACGGUGGGCGCUAGGUGUGGGGGACUUUCCACGUCCUCUGUGCCGCAGCUAACGCAUUAAGCGCCCCGCCUGGGGAGUACGGCCGCAAGGCUAAAACUCAAAGGAAUUGACGGGGGCCCGCACAAGCGGCGGAGCAUGUGGCUUAAUUCGACGCAACGCGAAGAACCUUACCAAGGCUUGACAUGCAGAGAAGUCUCGUAGAGAUACGGGGUCCGCAAGGGCUUUGCACAGGUGGUGCAUGGUUGUCGUCAGCUCGUGUCGUGAGAUGUUGGGUUAAGUCCCGCAACGAGCGCAACCCUUGUCCUAUGUUGCCAGCGAGUAAUGUCGGGGACUCAUAGGAGACUGCCGGGGUCAACUCGGAGGAAGGUGGGGAUGACGUCAAAUCAUCAUGCCCCUUAUGUCUUGGGCUGCACACAUGCUACAAUGGUCGGUACAAAGGGCUGCGAGACCGCAAGGUGGAGCGAAUCCCAAAAAGCCGGCCUCAGUUCGGAUUAGGGU
rnacentral:rRNA from 1 species